UACGGGGGGGGCAAGCGUUGUUCGGAAUUACUGGGCGUAAAGGGCUCGUAGGCGGCCAACUAAGUCAUACGUGAAAUCCCUCGGCUUAACCGGGGAACUGCGUCUGAUACUGGAUGGCUUGAGUUCGGGAGAGGGAUGCGGAAUUCCAGGUGUAGCGGUGAAAUGCGUAGAUAUCUGGAGGAACACCGGUGGCGAAGGCGGCAUCCUGGGACGUGACUGACGCUGAGACGCGAAAGCGUGGGGAGCAAACAGG
rnacentral:rRNA from 1 species